CCAAGGAACUCUUCAGCCAGUGUACAGAGUGCUAUCUCAGAGAAAAUCCACAUUCAGGCUGUCGAUAACCACACUGCAGAGGGUGUACUCAACGGGAAGCCCUCUAAGUGGUCUCAUAAGCUAACCUCUUCCCGAGUGCCUGUCUAUCUCGACAGUGAGGAACAACUGUCCUGUUUGCCUAUCUGAGAGGAGUGCUGCAUAGGACACCAACACAACUGAGCUUCACAGAUGAAGUGCAGAGGCCAUCAUAUAUGCCCUGGCUGUCCUACGGAAUUUCUCAUUGCAGGAGGCUGAGCAGGUCUUCUUUUCUGGUCCGGAUUAUCAUUACAGGUCAGAGUAGAAUAUGAAUUAUUUUUGCACAAUGCCCAGUGCACCUUUUGUUACUGAUAUUUCUGUUAACCCAACAGUGAUUGUUCUCUGAUAACUAUUUCAGUGAAGUGGAAGAU